CUGGGGGCGGUACUGACCUUGAGAGCACGCCGGGGAGGCGCAGGCGCAGCACAGAAUGCUUCAGUAAGAUGAGGACAGGAAGCUCUCACUUAACACCCUGGAUGGUCCUACAACUAACUAUUUUCAGUACCUCCAGGGCUGGAUAAAUGUCAUGCAUUGCUUAAAGGCCAAAACUCUGAAGGCUGAUAAAACAGGUGUGAUUCCUACUCUCUUAUUUGUGUGGCCUUGAGCAAAUUAUUUGAGCAAAUUAUUAACCUCUCUAAAAGCUUCAGUUUCUUCAUGUAUAAGCAAUAAGAAUAAGAAUAUCUUCCUCACAGGGUUGUACUGAGGAAUAAAUAAUGUAAA